UGGGGCUGUCUGUGUGCUGGCUCUGCACAGGGACAGUCCUGGCCUCUUCCUAUCCUCCUGCUGCUGGGUGACAUGUGCCCUUCCAUCCUCAAGUGGGCUGGUCUGCUUAGUGUCCCUAGGGGCCUCCCCACAAGUGGUCUUUGCAGAGAAACAGCAGCAGCAUUGAGCCAGGAGCAAGGCUGGGGGCAGGCGCCUGACUGAGUGGACCCGACAUGACACUCAAGUAGGAAAAGGUGGUGACAAAUUGAUAGCAAAGCAACAGAAAGGGACCAGGGAGCCCCGUGGUAAUGUCAAACAUCCCCCCGAUGGGCACCGACUCCACAGACGCCAAAGUCAGAGACACCCGAGCAACCAGGGAGACCCGUCCCUCCUUUCCUGAACAGGUCAUGGUCACCAGGAGGGCCAUGCUUGGGACAGGUGACCGCAGCCAGUGGACACAGAUGCUCAUGUAUCUGAGGCUGCAGAAAGGAAAGAGCAAAUCCGAGGUGCCCAAAGACCACACCGAAAAAAACCAAAGAAGGAAACUCAGGGACGAGGUCGGGGGCCUGGCUGGCGAGUGUGGCAAGACAGCACGAAUGUCCCCUUCUCCCUAUGCUUAACUCAUGUCCAACCCAAGCGGAAGUAGACAUGGCUGGCUUGUUGAAAACAUGUUCCUCAAAGGAAAUCCCACGUGAUUCCUUCCGCUGGGACAAAACCCAGACAUGUGGCCACACUGAGUGAACACCUGCUCCAUGCCAGGCGCCCUUCCAGACUCUGAAGAGCCAGCAGUGCGCAAAGCAGACCCAACGCCUGCCCUCGUGGAGCCCUGAAGGUUAAUGAGCUCCAGAGAUACAUGGAGGCUGCAUAGAUCUUCUUCCUUGUUCGCCUCUGCUGGCUGGAGAUCCUUGACCAUGAGGAUGGACUUGCUCCUGAAGGGUAACUGGAGGUACGGGAGAAAUUAGCAGCUGCUUCAGCUGUCACUAAGUGCAAGUGACAAGCCCAUUACCAUGCUCUCUAAUGACCACCUGAAUGUUUCCCUUCAUUUUGUCAAAAAUAACAUCCUCAUCGCUGCACAGGACCCCACCCGGCACCUUCUGUUGCGUGCUUCCUUCAGGCCAGUGUCUUCCUUCGCUGCCACCAUCACAGCUUCUCUGUUCUUUAGGGCCCCCUUUCUCUGUCAUCCAUCCACUCCACCCCAUCCAGGAGCACCCCCAUACCACCAUUCCCCGGCGCAGGACAGAUACCAGCCACCUGCUCUGUGUUCCCUUGGGAGGCGGCAGCACUCUUGGGGCCCAUAAUGGGAGGUGCUGCUGCAAACAUCAAGACCAAGAAGUCGCUCUGCCCCAGCAUGCUGUUAGCACAAAGUGGCCUUCACCAUCCACUGAACAAUGGGGACUUUCUGGAUGUGAGUGCCAAGGGCUUGCAGGCGCCAGAGGGAGUACGCGGAGUGGCACCUGCAGUCACAGUCCGCUGCUACCAUGGGGAGCGCCCAGUGCUUUCCUCUGACACUGGGGGAGACCUCCUUCCAAAUCAGCUCUGGGGGUCUGCGUGCCCAAUGGGGCGUUUCUGGUGUCCAUGAGUACUAAAGGUCCCCGGGCCACUUGACACCAGUGGGAUUCUGUGUUUACUGCACAGAGGUUGCAGCUGUCCCUUCGCUCCACGGACCAGAGGGGGAUGCAUAGGGGCCUCCUUGGACCGAUUAGGAGUUGCUCAUCACCUGGAGGGCCCCCGGGCCGUCCUCCUGCCUCACCACUGCCCUUCACGGAGUCCCCCCCAGGGGACACAUCUGUGUUCCCCAAGCCCCCCUACACUUGGGCAGACGGAGUCACUCCCUCCCAGGGAAGAGAGGCAGGAAAGGAAAACCACAGCUCAUAAAUGGUCCACGAUGUCACUGAGGAAAGAGGAAACACUGCCUUUCCUCCUUAACAGCAAAAUCAAUCGAGGCCCAGUAAGCUAACGAGAAAACACACCCACAGCUCGGGCAGCUGCUUUCCCGGAGGGUCCUCAUCUUCCCACUGCCGAGUGCUUUGCCUCCCAGGGCCCAGCCCCACCCCAGCGCCAAGUUGGGCAAAGGCCCUGCCGUCACAACUGGGGUCUGGGUGGACAAGGGAUGUGACCUUGUCGCACACACAGAACACGGCUUCUGACUGUUUUCUCUACUGAGGAAGGAGCAAGAAAACGGGGCCCCUCGUGGCAGGAACCACCCAAGUGGGUGGGAGGAGACUCAUCUUGAAGAAACAGGGGAACCAGGCUGGGGUCAGGUAGGGGCAAUCGCCAUGUGAGUCACUCUCUAAGGUGGGCAAAACCGUAGAGUCACGUGAGUGCUGCUGGGACAACCCUGCCUGAGAUGAGGACGGGGACCCGGAGGCCAGGUCAGAGUGACUCCAGCCACCUCUCUCCAGCCCUGCCAACAGGGAAAAGGGCGUGCAACUGUCAUGAGAACCUGGAAAGGCAGGGAAGAGUGCGUCUGGCAGCUGGAGAGGCGGACGGCAGGCAGGAGAGACUGGGCACCCCAGGCUGGGGCCACAGGGCUGGGAGUGAGGGGACAACACCAUUCGCCAACGGGAUGCCAUCAGAUUCCUCCAGCCACAGAAGGGGCGGGUCCACUGCAGCAGACACAUUGGCUAGGGAGCACC